AGCAGGUCAAGGAGGAUGCUGAAAAUAUACACUAAGAUCCUCAUCAGGCUGUGUCUUUAAAUGUAACUACAUUGAAGAUGAGGGCCUCUACUACAGAACUUGGAAGAAAAACAGUUCCGUCUGUGGUAAUGUUCAAUUAUUCUCCUGCCUCAUGGCCACAUUGGGAUUCUCACCUAUAGAGCUGGAAGCAUGCAUAUUUUCUUAUUUCUCCUAACGCCUUUUCAUUGUGAUGCUUUUUGAAUCUCUAUAGAAGGAUAGCUUUAAGCAAGCUCAUCAAGAGCUGGCCCAUGUUCAAAUUGAGAUGAAGAAACAGACUUUUUGAACUCUGUAUAUUAGAAGAAGCAUCUAUCAACAGCACGUAACUGAUUUGGAAAUUUCUCCUCUUGGAGGUCCCACACCCUGACAAAAAUCAUUCUUUCCAAUGUCAAUCAAUCUAGGAAGACUAACAGAAUAAAUUUCAUGGAUGAGAU
ensembl:lincRNA Gm28881 predicted gene 28881